AUACGGAGGGUGCAAGCGUUAUUCGGAAUCACUGGGCGUAAAGGACGCGUAGGCGGGUUGGCAAGUCAGAUGUGAAAUCCUACAGCUUAACUGUAGAACUGCAUUUGAAACUGCUAACCUAGAGUAUGGGAGGGGGAGAUGGAAUUAGUGGUGUAGGGGUAAAAUCCGUAGAUAUCACUAGGAAUACCGAAAGCGAAGGCGAUCUCCUGGAACAUAACUGACGCUAAGGCGUGAAAGCGUGGGGAGCAAACAGGAUGAGAAACCCCAGUAGUCC
rnacentral:rRNA from 1 species